CAGUCGCCGCGGGAAUACGUAGGUCCCGAGCGUUGUCCGGAUUUAUUGGGCGUAAAGCGAGCGCAGGCGGUUAGAUAAGUCUGAAGUUAAAGGCUGUGGCUUAACCAUAGUACGCUUUGGAAACUGUUUAACUUGAGUGCAAGAGGGGAGAGUGGAAUUCCAUGUGUAGCGGUGAAAUGCGUAGAUAUAUGGAGGAACACCGGUGGCGAAAGCGGCUCUCUGGCUUGUAACUGACGCUGAGGCUCGAAAGCGUGGGGAGCAAACAGGAUUAGAUACCCGUGUAGUCCCUGUCUCUUAUACA
rnacentral:rRNA from 1 species